UACGGGGGGAGCAAGCGUUGUUCGGAUUUACUGGGCGUAAAGGGCGCGUAGGCGGUCACUACAAGUCAGCUGUGAAAUCUCCGGGCUUAACUCGGAACGGUCAGCUGAUACUGUCGGACUAGAGUGCAGAAGGGGCAACUGGAAUUCUCGGUGUAGCGGUGAAAUGCGUAGAUAUCGAGAGGAACACCUGCGGCGAAGGCGGGUUGCUGGGCUGACACUGACGCUGAGGCGCGAAAGCUAGGGGAGCGAACGGG
rnacentral:rRNA from 1 species